rnacentral:rRNA from 1 species
GAUGAACGCUCGCGAUAUGCUUAACACAUGCAAGUCGAGCGGCAGCACAAGGUAGCUUGCUAUCUGGGUGGCGACCGGCGCACGGGUGCGUAACGCGUAUGCAACUUGCUCUAUACAGGAGGAGAACCCGUCGAAAGACGGACUAAUACUGCGUAUGCUCACAACUUGGCAUCAAGCGGGGAGGAAAGAAAUUCGGUAUAGGAUAGGGAUGCGUCCCAUUAGCUUGUUGGUGAGGUAACGGCUCACCAAGGCAACGAUGGGUAGGGGAACUGAGAGGUUUAUCCCCCACAAUGGUACUGAGACACGGACCAGACUCCUACGGGAGGCAGCAGUGAGGAAUAUAGGGCAAUGGGCGCGGGCCUGAACCAGCCAAGUCGCGUGAAGGAUGACUGUCUUAUGGAUAGUAAACUUCUUUUAUACGGGAAUAACAAGAGUAACGUGUGACCCCCUGAAUGUACCGUAUGAAUAAGCAUCGGCUAACUCCGUG